rnacentral:rRNA from 1 species
AAAGGGGGACGAUGUCGAUUUGGAGGUUGUGCCCUUGAGGCGUGGCUUCCGGAGCUAACGCGUUAAAUCGACCGCCUGGGGAGUACGGCCGCAAGGUUAAAACUCAAAUGAAUUGACGGGGGCCCGCACAAGCGGUGGAGCAUGUGGUUUAAUUCGAUGCAACGCGAAGAACCUUACCUGGUCUUGACAUCCACAGAACUUAGCAGAGAUGCUUUGGUGCCUUCGGGAACUGUGAGACAGGUGCUGCAUGGCUGUCGUCAGCUCGUGUUGUGAAAUGUUGGGUUAAGUCCCGCAACGAGCGCAACCCUUAUCCUUUGUUGCCAGCGGUUAGGCCGGGAACUCAAAGGAGACUGCCAGUGAUAAACUGGAGGAAGGUGGGGAUGACGUCAAGUCAUCAUGGCCCUUACGACCAGGGCUACACACGUGCUACAAUGGCAUAUACAAAGAGAAGCGACCUCGCGAGAGCAAGCGGACCUCAUAAAGUAUGUCGUAGUCCGGAUUGGAGUCUGCAACUCGACUCCAUGAAGUCGGAAUCGCUAGUAAUCGUAGAUCAGAAUGCUACGGUGAAUACGUUCCCGGGCCUUGUACACACCGCCCGUCACACCAUGGGAGUGGGUUGCAAAAGAAGUAGGUAGCUUAACCUUCGGGAGGGCGCUUACCACUUUGUGAUUCAUGACUGGGGUGAAGUCUAAAAGGGGUAACCAAAAAUUUUUUUUUCUUCGGUUGGGGGGG